GAGACCUUGACCUGCUUAAACCUCAAUAUUUCUUACUUCAACUGUUAGAUGGAGCUGAAAUUCACAACAUGUAUUUAACACAACUAUAAUCAUGAAUCCAAAAAAUUUCACCCAUAGAUCUGCAACAAAACUCUCAAAAUCACUUAAAACAUAAAUCCUAUUUUAUUUCAUAAAACCCAAGUCAUCUGAAACAAACCUCCACUUUGCAAAGCUUUUACAAAGUCAUAUCAACUCUAAAUCACCCAAAAUCAACGCCUAUAGAAACCCUAUCCAAUCUUCUAUCAAACUCCUUUCUCCGAUCUGCCAAAGAAUCCUGGAGUCGUCGUCGAGACUCAGUUUUGUGCCUCAGGGUCUGAUUUCGACCCUAGUUCAUAACCGGCCCUCUCUGGAUAUCAACUUUCGUCUCCUUGAGGUAAUUUUUACUAAUUUGCACUCCUAACUCC
rnacentral:lncRNA from 1 species